rnacentral:rRNA from 1 species
GUUGAUAGGCUCGGGGUGUAAGCUCAGUAAUGGGUGUAGCUGACGAGUACUAAUCGGUCGAGGGCUUAUCCUA